GAUGAACGCUAGCUACAGGCUUAAAACAUGCAAGUCGAGGGGAAACGAUAGAGAAAGCUUGCUUUUUCUAGGCGUCGACCGGCGCCCGGGUGAGUAACGCGUAUCCAACCUGCCCACCACUUGGGGAUCACCUUGCGAAAGUAAGACUAAUACCCACUGACGUCCAUAGAAGACAUCUGAAUUGGAUUACAGAUUUAUCGGUGAUGGACGGGGAUGCGUCGGAUUAGCUUGUGGGCGGGGUAACGGCCCACCAAGGCGACGAUCAGUAGGGGUUCUGAGAGGAAGGUCCCCCACAUUGGAACUGAGACACGGUCCAAACUCCUACGGGAGGCAGCAGUGAGGAAUAUUGGUCAAUGGGCGAGAGCCUGAACCAGCCAAGUAGCGUGCAGGAUGACGGCCCUAUGGGUUGUAAACUGCUUUUAUAAGGGAAUAAAGUGGGAGUCGUGACUCCUUUUGCAUGUACCUUAUGAAUAAGGACCGGCUAAUUCCGUGCCAGCCGCCGCAGUAACAC
rnacentral:rRNA from 1 species